rnacentral:lncRNA from 1 species
GCAGUGGUUAAUCAGAAAGGUUUACCCUGCCUUGCCUGAGGGAGAAUUACAAAGAGCAGAUGAUGGUAGACAGUCAAUCUCCAGUGCUUCUGAAUCAAUUGGGCACUCUCCUGUCCCAGCUCAAGGAUCACAACACCUUUCUUGGGCAUGGGAUGGGAAUGUGUGAUAAUGCAAUUCUCCUUCCAGGCAUGAUGAUACCAGAUCUUUCUGUGAGCAACUCCCAUCACCUAGAGAGAUAAAGGAAGAGCUGGUAGCACUUGAUAGUCCUGAUCUGGGGUUGGAUUUCCAAGGUAAUGGCUCUCUAGCACCUCCUCUUUGUUCCCAGGGGAAGGCAUCUACCACUCCCUGUCUCAGCCAGGAUUAACAGCAAUCUCUGCAGUAUUGCCCUAGAGAUUUUAAACUAAGAGCCCCUUUUUGUUAACAGAUGUAAGUCUAAAAAAGACUCGAUAAGAAUUAAUUUAACUUUUUAAUAUAAACAUAAGGUUUGCACAUUAUCAAAGGAGAGAGGCAGAUGAAAAGAGGACAGGAAGGAAAGCGAGCAGGUCCAAACCCAGCACUGGGGAUGGAGGCUCCACUCACCACAGCACUGAGGGACAGGUAUAAUGCUCCUCACUUUGCUCUUACAAGUUAGUGAAGAGGAUGCUCUCCCCAGACACACACACUCUUCAAACUUUCCUUCUCUUUGAAGGAAAGCUCUCAGAGCUUCCUUUGAAGGAAUGCUCUUAGACACUUUUAUCUUUAGUCAGUCUCCCUUGCUAUAGGAUUCUCUGAACUGUAAUUGAAAAAUGUUCCAGAUUUUGAAGGGCCCUUAGCCAGGAGAAUUCCUGGGGAUAUAUCUCCUCUUUGAUGAAACUGAGAGUUAUUGAUGUUAACAAGGAUGAACUAAAGAACAGAUUCUUCAUGCUUAGGGAUGGAGGACUUAGCUUGGAAAGAGAUGGAAGGCAAGGAAACAAAGUCAAAAUUCCACUUCAGCAGCUUCCAGAUAGCACAAUACCUAUAAGAGAGCCAUCCUCACUGAUAUUCUUGUCCUUUAUGUCAGUGUGA